rnacentral:misc_RNA from 1 species
AAAAUAAUCCUACCCUUUGUGAAUUUUGUUUGUUUGAAUAAUCUUUUUUUUUUAAAAAAUUAUUGGAGUCUUUCCCUUUAGAGUUUGCUUUUGAGUCUGUAAAAGAAUUCGAAAACAUCUAAAGGGGAUGGUCAAUAAUUUUUUUUGAAAAAAGACAUUUUUUAAAAUUAAACUUUUUGUAUUCAUUUGUCUAAAAAUUAUUUUUAUAAUAUAAAAACAACUUUUGACAAUGGAUCUCUUGGUUCUCGCAACGAUGAAGAACGCAGCAAAAUGCGAUAAGUAGUGUGAAUUGCAGAAUACGUGAAUCAUCGAAUCUUUGAACGCAUAUUGCACUUUUUAGUUUACUAAAAAAGUAUGUCUGUUUGAGUAUCAGUAAAAUAUUCUCAUAAAAAUCAUUGGUAUUUUUAUGGUUAUGAGUGUUUUACAACGAUACAAGUUGUUUCACUUUAAAUUUUUUUUUAAUAUUGAAAUUUUUCUAAUUUUAAUAAUUAAAAUUGGAUAAAAUUUUCCCGUCAAAAGGAAUAACCUAAACAAUUUUAAAUGAUUAAUUUUAGCAAAAUUUUCGAAAAAGGAAAAUUUUUAUUAAAAUAACUUGAUCUCAAAUCAGAUAAGAGUACCCGCUGAACUUAAGCAUAUCAAUAAGCGUAGGAAAAGAAACUAACAAGGAUUCCCUUAGUAACGGCGAGUGAAGCGGGAAGAGCUCAAAUUUGAAAUCUUCAAGGUUUUACCUUGACGAAUUGUAGUUUAAAGAAGUGUUUUCUGCUGAAGUUUUGGUAAAAGUUCUUUGGAAUAGGACAUCAUAGAGGGUGAGAAUCCCGUAUUUGACCAUUAUUUUCAGCUUUGUGAUACACUUUCAAAGGGUCGGAUUGUUUGGGAAUGCAGUCCAAAACGGGUGGUAAAUUUCAUCUAAGGCUAAAUAUUGGCGAGAGACCGAUAGCGAACAAGUACCGUGAGGGAAAGAUGAAAAGAACUUUGAAAAGAGAGUUAAACAGUACGUGAAAUUGUCAAAAGGGAAGCGUUUGACACCAGUGUUGUUUUCUCGAAAAUCAAUUAAAAAUGGCUCGAUUUUGUAUUGCUGAGACCUUAAAAGCUCACUGUACAUUUUUCGUGUCUUUUUUAAUGCACUUUUCGUUUAACAAGUCAACAUCAGUUUCUUUUGUUGUAAAAGGGUCAUUGGAAGGUGGCUUUCUUUUCGGAGAAAGUGUUUAUAGCCUUUGGCCUCUGCAAUCGAAGAGACUGAGGUCUGCAGCGUAGACUCUUCGGGUUAGAUACAUUUGUGCUAAGUUAUAGCUUUUUAUAGACAACUUGUUGACUAUAAUUAGUCUUGUAGCUUUCUCGCUUAUGCUAUUUUACCUACGCUUAGGAUG